rnacentral:rRNA from 1 species
GGGGAAUCUUAGACAAUGGGGGCAACCCUGAUCUAGCCAUGCCGCGUGAGUGAUGAAGGCCUUAGGGUUGUAAAGCUCUUUCAGCUGGGAAGAUAAUGACGGUACCAGCAGAAGAAGCCCCGGCUAACUCCGUGCCAGCAGCCGCGGUAAUACGGAGGGGGCUAGCGUUGUUCGGAAUUACUGGGCGUAAAGCGCACGUAGGCGGAUUGGAAAGUUGGGGGUGAAAUCCCGGGGCUCAACCCCGGAACUGCCUUCAAAACUAUCGGUCUUGAGUUCGAGAGAGGUGAGUGGAAUUCCGAGUGUAGAGGUGAAAUUCGUAGAUAUUCGGAGGAACACCAGUGGCGAAGGCGGCUCACUGGCUCGAUACUGACGCUGAGGUGCGAAAGCGUGGGGAGCAAAC